rnacentral:rRNA from 1 species
GGCCAGACUCCUACGGGAGGCAGCAGUGGGGAAUAUUGCACAAUGGGGGAAACCCUGAUGCAGCGACGCCGCGUGAGUGAAGAAGUAUUUCGGUAUGUAAAGCUCUAUCAGCAGGGAAGAAAAUGACGGUACCUGACUAAGAAGCCCCGGCUAACUACGUGCCAGCAGCCGCGGUAAUACGUAGGGGGCAAGCGUUAUCCGGAUUUACUGGGUGUAAAGGGAGCGUAGGUGGCAUGGUAAGCCAGAAGUGAAAACCCGGGGCUCAACCCCGCGGAUUGCUUUUGGAACUAUCAGGCUGGAGUGCUGGAGGGGUAAGCGGAAUUCCUAGUGUAGCGGUGAAAUGCGUAAAUAUUAGGAGGAACACCAGUGGCGAAGGCGGCUUACUGGGCUUUAACUGACGCUGAGGCUCGAAAGCGUGGGUAGCAAACAGGAUUAGAUACCCGCGUACC